CCUACGGGAGGCAGCAGUGAGGAAUAUUGGUCAAUGGACGAGAGUCUGAACCAGCCAAGUAGCGUGAAGGAUGACUGCCCUAUGGGUUGUAAACUUCUUUUAUAUGGGAAUAAAAUGUUCCACGUGUGGGAUUUUGUAUGUACCAUAUGAAUAAGGAUCGGCUAACUCCGUGCCAGCAGCCGCGGUAAUACGGAGGAUCCGAGCGUUAUCCGGAUUUUUUGGGUUUAAAGGGAGCGUAGGUGGAUUGUUAAGUCAGUUGUGAAAGUUUGCGGCUCAACCGUAAAAUUGCAGUUGAAACUGGCAGUCUUGAGUACAGUAGAGGUGGGCGGAAUUCGUGGUGUAGCGGUGAAAUGCUUAGAUAUCACGAAGAACUCCGAUUGCGAAGGCAGCUCACUGGACUGCAACUGACACUGAGGCUCGAAAGCGUGGGGAGCAAACAGGAUUAGAUACCCUAGUAGUC
rnacentral:rRNA from 1 species